GAUGAACGCUAGCGGCAGGCCUAACACAUGCAAGUCGAGGGGUAGAAGGAGCUUGCUCCUUUGAGACCGGCGCACGGGUGCGUAACGCGUAUGCAAUCUACCUUGUACAGGGGAAUAGCCCAGAGAAAUUUGGAUUAAUGCCCCAUAGUAUAUAACCUUCGCAUGUUGGUUAUAUUAAAGUUCCAACGGUACAAGAUGAGCAUGCGUCCCAUUAGUUAGUUGGUAAGGUAACGGCUUACCAAGACGAUGAUGGGUAGGGGUCCUGAGAGGGAGAUCCCCCACAGUGGUACUGAGACACGGACGAGACUCAUACGGGAGGCAGCAGUGAGGAAUAUUGGUCAAUGGUAGAAAGACUGAACCAGCCAUGCCGCGUGCAGGAAGACGGUCCUAUGGAUUGUAAACUGCUUUUAUAAAGGAAGAAACCCUCCCACGUGUGGGAGCUUGACGGUAAUGUAGGAAUAAGGAUCGGCUAACUCCGUG
rnacentral:rRNA from 1 species